rnacentral:rRNA from 1 species
AGUGAACGCUGGCGGUAGGCCUAACACAUGCCAGUCGAACGGCAGCACAGUAAGAGCUUGCUCUUACGGGUGGCGAGUGGCGGACGGGUGAGGAAUACAUCGGAAUCUACUUUUUCGUGGGGGAUAACGUAGGGAAACUUACGCUAAUACCGCAUACGACCUACGGGUGAAAGCAGGGGAUCUUCGGACCUUGCGCGAUUGAAUGAGCCGAUGUCGGAUUAGCUAGUUGGCGGGGUAAAGGCCCACCAAGGCGACGAUCCGUAGCUGGUCUGAGAGGAUGAUCAGCCACACUGGAACUGAGACACGGUCCAGACUCCUACGGGAGGCAGCAGUGGGGAAUAUUGGACAAUGGGCGCAAGCCUGAUCCAGCCAUACCGCGUGGGUGAAGAAGGCCUUCGGGUUGUAAAGCCCUUUUGUCGGGAAAGAAAAGCAGCAGGUUAAUACCCCGCUGUUCUGACGGUACCCAAAGAAAAAGCACCGGCUAACUUCGUG